AAGUUGGAUUUGUUACUUUCUGGUAUCGAUCAAGAAGAUGUUAGACCCUGUUUUGUUAUAUAGAGUAAUUUGUUGUAUCUAUGUCUACCAUACUGAGGCUUGACUAUAUUGUAAUCUUUCCAGCUAGUCAAUUAUGCCUCACUUUUAUCUUUAAUUUUCUCUGCUGUCAAGUAAUUAUGUGGUGUCACAACCAAACCUGCAUAUUGCUUUUCUGAAAAGGUUCACAAUGUAGAGUAUUUUAUAGUGCUAAGCAGUCCAACCUAAUUACAUGUAGGUAAUCUGUGUUACAAAGCCAACAAAGCCAGAAAUGGGUGCACCUAAUACCUGAAGGCUUCUUGUAUGUAUUUGAUGCUCAAUUCAUAUAUUAAAUUGUACCUCCAUGUGAUAGAUAUUAUUUGCUGUAUGUUAAUCAAGCUGUUUUCUUUGCACUGAUGUCUGAUUCAUUCUGAAACAGUCUUUGAAACUUGACUUCAUGUGCUUUAAAGGCAGCUUAUAUGAGCACAUGUUGAUUACAUAACUUUGAGUUUACCAAGCCUUUUAGUGUGUCAUGUAUUUUGAACCAAGCACACUGGUUUUUGUAAUGAUUGUCAUCUGCCUUCUUCUCAAGUCACGUGUAUGGCUUUUGUGAAAUUGUUCAAGAGCUGCCUAAGAAGUAAUGCCCACCACUUUUUUUUUUUUUGCUGAUAUUGUUGAAAUAAGCGAGGGACCUCAAAAUUUGUGCUAUGGAAUACUUGUGACCUUGAACCUUACAACACUAGUAUUUGCUCAGUGAUUGGAGAGGAGCAGCACUAUAGCAGACUGUGAGGUAGGCCUUACUUUCUGACAAUAUCUGAUUUUAUGGUGGUCUUGAACGAAGUUAAGAAACAUGCAAAGGCAUUUGAUUUGACAAUGGGAGGUACAUCAAGACCCUUCACAAACUAAAGUGUCAGUACCAGCGGUUUCGAUGCAGUAUAGGUAAGUCUACAGGACUUUGCUCCAUCAUGACGCCCACGACCUUCACAAGUGACCUUUUUGACCCCAUGGGGCAGGGGUCAGAUUCGGUUGAACAGUGCUUACCCACACACCGUAUAUAGCGGUAAUACUAGUCCUGAUUGAUGCUUUCCAGCAAUCGUGGUCAUCGCCAAUCAAUCAUGCAUUGUGCUAAACAUGUUUUGUCAAUGUAAGUUGAAUAGUGCAACAAACAAUUGUGUUCUUUGUUCAUGAAGCUUGUCCUUCUAAAUGAAAAAU